CUGGGACAGGUUUGUUUUCUGGCUGUCCUGCAGAUUUCAAAGAUGGAGGCGGCAAGGGACCAGAGCUCAUAGAUCACCAGCCCACGAGGAGUCACUUGGAGAAAACUACACAUCAUCCAGAAAUGCCUGGAUGGGACUUGAGUGUGUCUUUUGGGAAGGAGGACGUGGGUAUUUUAAGGGAGUGACAGCAUGGUGCCGCAGGAGAUGCAGUGACACCACCGCUGUGAAAAUAAGCGUGCCAGCUCCUCCUCUCUGUCUGCCAAACAUGCCUGCUCCCCCGCCCCACCUCCGCCGCCCCACCAGGGACUUGCCUAAAGGCUGCUGAGCAAGGAGAGGUGGAGUCCAGGAACCCAUCCCCACAGUACCCAGAGGAACAGAGUGGACACAAACUCAUCCUAGACACGCUUCUGGAACUGCCCAGGGUCUGAGGGAUUCACUGGAUCAACACACAGUCCAGAGGAGUCCUGAGGUGUUAUAAGUAUGGAGGAUCUAGGAGACACACUUUGGGGGCCAACAUGGAGAUUAAAAUCUGAAGGGAAUAUGACAUCUUCCAUAACUCUUAGGAGACUGGGAGCAAAAGUGUCAUUCUUGACCUACUCAACAAAGCCCUCAGGGGACUGGUAGGUGGGAAAAUGGAUGUUUCCGGAUUGUUGCUGAUUGGAGCAUCAGCCCUGAAGGUUGCAAGGUCAAAUGGAGACCCCAGGAGUGGGCAUUUAUGCGCUACCGAUAUGUUUGUCUAUCACCCAGAAGCACAUAGGUGAGUUUGCAGGUCUCUGCAACAGGAAGGACACACUUUGUUCUUGAACCAGUGGUUACCAUAUCUCCUUCUACAGCAUGAUUUUUCCCCAGGGCAUAGCUCUUCACCUGUGCACCUUUCAGGAAGCUAAUUAAUUGUCACUGCAGAGAGUGGACUUCAGAGGAAAACAGAAAGAAAGAAUGGAGUUAGGCUGAAGGAGGUAUGGUUCCUGUUUCAAAUUAAAUGGAAACAGGUAAAUUAGAAACCUUGCCCAAGGCCUAGCACCCUGAGGUUUUGCCAGCUUCUGUGAGGGAGGUUAGGGAACAUCCUUGCAGGAGAUCUUGAGCAACAAAAU